AUGAAAGAGUAUGUUUUAAGAAAGAAUAAGUAUUUAAAGCUAUAACUAUUAUUCCAAAACCAAUUUCCAGCACAUGUUUUACCAUCAAAUACAAGGGGGCUGAAACCACAAAUCACAGGAAGGUAAAGGUGUACACAGUUUCUUGCCUGGGCUGACAGGCAUAGUUUCCAGGCAUCAGGUGGUUCUGUAACCAUUUCCUUCCCCAGGGAAGCCUCAAAAUACAUAAUGGGAUAUUGCUAAGGCAUCUUUUCAUCAGCCCUGAGCACUGUUAUGUCCCAGUACCACAGUAUUUAAUUAUCAUCCCAGUAUUCAUAUUGGACAACCAGUGUUUUAAAGUUUAUUUAAAUAUUUUUUGAUCUUGAAAACAACUUAAAAUUUUAGGAAACAUUAAGAACAGAGAAAAGCACCUAAAAAGGCAUGCAAAACCUAUUUUGUGGUUAUUAUUAUUAUUAACAUUAUAGCAUACAAAUUUCCAGUUUUUUAUUUAUGCAUACAGAUCUAAACACAGAUUACACUUAUCCUUUACAAACUACUAUAACAUACUUUCUUCAUUCAAUACUGUCAACAUUCUCAAAAGUCAAUGAAUAUUCUUCUGCAACCUAAUUCUAAAGUUUUAUUCUCCAAAAUUCUAACUCUUACUUAGAAGUUCAAAUUUUAUCACUGGCAAAAAAUGCCGUCAGUUGUCUCCCUUGCAAUGACAAAUUCACUUUGUUUUGGACUUUCUAAGUAAAAGUAAGAGAACAUUUCAUAAUAUAACCAUUACUCACAGUGAAGCAAAAUAUUUAGCAAUAAACAAAAGUUAAAAAUACAAACCUUGCAAAUUUCAAUGAGUAAACCUUACUUUUAAAAUCAUCCUUUUAAAGAAUCUAAAAUUGCUUAAUUAGUAAAUCAGAAUUAAGUAAUACAAAUGCAAAAAGAGGCUGACUUCGUUUACGGACAAUCUGUUCCUUAGUUACUCCUAGAUUUAAGAAAUGAAAAAUUUUAAAACACAUCUAAUUGCCCCUCAAAAUGAGUGAUCCCAUAUAUUACCUGACCAAGAUUCAAAUGCUAGCUAAUGCUGUCUGUGUUUGCUUACAUCUACAUAAUAUAACUGGAAAAGUCAUCAGCCAUUAGAGUUCAUGUAUUUUAUCUAGAAUGAAUUUAGGAUGAAUGCCCUAAUAGUAAAAUAAAACAGUGGGUAGCUUUAGUCAUAUAUGCACUGUUUCUCCUAAUAAAAAACCCUUUAACUUCUCUCUGAAAGUCAGCAUCUAACAAGACUCUUUCAUGACUAGUCAUGAACACUGAAGGAAAUUUUGGACUAUCUAAAAAAAAGAGUAUUUCCUUAUUAUUUCCUUCAGAAACAUUUUAGAAACCAGAAAAAACUCUGGCCUAAGUAAAAAACUAAAAUAAAAAUAAUAAUAAUAAAAUAUAUAUAUUACACUAUAGACAAGCUAUAGAUUUUAUUGAAUUCUGGUCCUUCUCUCUGAACUCUUAAAAUUGUCCAGAACUCUACAUUAUGGCUUGUACAUUUCUAGUCUCCAUACUUUUUUUAGAAUGUCUGUCUUAGGUAUCUGCAAUUAGGGCAAACUAACAGAGCAUACUGCUUUUCAAGUUCGAUGUAUCACUGCACCUGCAAUUAUAGAAUCCCUUUAGCAAAUUAUGUAGUGAUUUAUUGAACAGAUCCACCAGUGAGCCCAUAAAAUGAGUAGUAAUUCAGGGUUGUACACAUUCUCUGCCAUUCACAAAUAGAACUGUAAGUAAAUUCUAAAGCUAAAUCAAAUGUCAUCUUAAAGCAAUCUAUAAUGUCACAUAAAAUCAAACACAAUUUUUAACAUAAAUAAGAAAUAUUUGGGUCAAAAUACAACUUAAACAUAAAAAGGCUCAUUAUCAUCAACUAUUGUUUUACCCAUGAUAUAAAAAAGAGACUAAAAGUGCACCUUUAGUUAGAAGAUCUUUAACAAAGCAGGUAAUACCUGCUGACUGCAUAAAUCCAAGAUCCACAGGUGAGUCAGUCAACCCUUGGAAUUCCAUAAAGAGCCAACAGACCCUGUUUUGGAUUCUGAGUUUCCUUUUUGAGUAGUUCUACUUCAGGAUAGAUACUUGAUAACUUAUUUUUUCUUAAAGGUCUUCCAAAAACCACAGAAAAUACUCACUUAAAAAAGAAAAGAACAAAAUAUGCUACCUAGUAAUAGUCAUACAGAUCCACUGGGCCCUUUUAUAAAUCUAGGAUAUAUUAUGGGAUCCUAGUGAUCUUAUUUUUUUCACAUGUCUUGAAAUCGUUUGCUAUUUCAUCAUCCUAGCAAUUGUUUCAUCACUACAUCAAUUAUUCCCAACUAUGCAAAAAAAAAGAAAAGACUAAAAUAAAAUUUUGGAAGAAUAAUGGCAUGCCUACCAGAAUGAUACAAUGAUGCAUCCUUUUUCCAUUUUCUUACAUUGUCAACUAAAAUAUUACAUAUUUCAAGAAAGUAUAAAAUAAGGAUGCAGACCCUAUCUUUGGAGUCUGCUUUUAGCUAGAUUAAUAGAGCUGAAAAUUCAAAAUGUCUUAAUUUUCCACCUACAAUGGAAAAGAGAAGGAAACUGACAAGGGAAGAUGUUGCACAAUUAAUUAUUAGAUAAAUCAGAAGAUACUUGCAAAGACAUGGAUUGCAGUACUUCAGACUUCAAUGACAAUGGUAAAAUUAAGUGAAACCUCAGACUGAGUCUUUAGAUGAUGAUUUCCUAGAUGAAUUUUAUAGAAUUCAAAAACUAAUGAACAAUGUAUUUCUAAGGAUACACGGCAUUCUUAUCCACUUAGUCAUUCAACAGCAAGGACUUCAUCAAACAGUAUUUUAUGACAAGAAUCUGGACCAUUCCAUUUUGCCAAAAGGCUAUAUGACAGUGUUUUUUUACCUUUUAUGCCAUUUGUGCACUGUGAAUGCUAAAGCAAAUUUGUACACAAAAAUGACUGGAAGGAAUCAGAUGACGUAGAAAUGAAAAAGUAUUGGACAGAUCAUUCCAACUGAUGUGUACUAAUUUAAAAAAUAUUUUACAAUAAAGUCAUGAUGUCAAAGAUUUUAAAAAUUUCUUCAAGCAUCACUUUGUGCAAGAAAACCCAGAAGUAAUGAUAACCUAGAAGUUCUCAGAGAACUGCUGGAAUGUGUCUGACAACUCAUAAGCAGUUGGCUGCAUUCAGAGGACAUUGCCCAUUUCCAGUAUAUAUACCUUCAAAACCAGGAAAAUAGAGUGAAAAUUUUAUUUUUUUCUGCAUUUAAAUGCUUUUUUAAAAUUUCUAAUGAAAUUGUUACACACUAUUCUUUCAUUCCUACUUCUCUAAGUUAUUUAUAAAAUGACUUAAAUAUAUAUAUAUAUAAAAGUGCUACUGGUCUCAGAUGGCAAAUGAUGACCCUGAUAUACUAAGGAUUAGGAUAGGAUUAUGGCUUCUAAAACUUAUAUUUAAAAAUAUAUACAUAUAAAGUAUUAAAAUAAAAGCAUUCUAAAUAGCGUAACUAGUAAUUAUUCUUAAUAAUCCUUAAAAAUAAAACUGAGCCAGAAAAACUUAGGAACAAAAUAACUAUUUCUGUUGUCAAAGCCUACAGCUCAUCUGUGGGUCAAUGCAGGUGUUUAUAUCAGAAAGAUUUUGAUACAAAGAUGCUAACUUCAAAUAAUGUACUAUCUGAAUUAACUGGUUCCAAGACUGUUUAUUUCUAGUUAAUCCAUUAAUAUGCAAGAAAUAUAUUAAACAACUGGCAAAAACUAAAUUUUUUUUUAGUUUCUGAAUUUCUCUUACACUAUGAUCUGAUUUACAUUAAGGAUUUUAAAAAAGCUAAUUUGCACAACUUCUCCAAACACAUUCUGUACAGUUGUGUCAGGAGGCUGCUAACCAACAACACGGAAACCACACAGGCUGUAACUGUAAGAAAAUCGUAAAGUAGCCCGUUUGGCGACUCCUGCCAACUGACCUAAAUUUAAUAGAGGAAGGAGCGGAGAGGCUUGGAGCCUGGAGUCCGCCCCAGAAGAGCGCUCGGCCAGCAAAGGCUCAAUCCACCGCCCUCUGAAAACGGACCGCACCAGAAUAUCGAGUGCCAGGUCUGCUGCUUUCACAUUUUAUUUGUUUUCUUUCUUUUCCUUAAAUUGCUCAUCUUUCCUAAAUUCAAUUCUCAAAAUGAAUAACAUUUUCCCUUUUCUCUGUAUAAGUUGUUUCUUCUUCACCCUUUCAUCACUGCUAAAACACACACUGGCACUUGAUGCAGCCAUAAUGGACCUGCUCUGCAGUCAGCCAAGGGCAUGCAUUCUAGUCUAAACGUGCAGUCAGACAGCAGACCGGUAUUCUAAGAUCGGCACUGAAAGGAAGGUUCCCUGUAUACUAGAGAACUAUUGCCCCAUUCCAUUUCACUGAACUGAAUGCAUCCUAUUCAUAAGUUUGCUACAUUAGUGAUUCACUGGAAACAGGAUUACAUUUCGCUGAAUAAAAAGGGUGUAACUCAAAUGUAAACCAAAGUAAUUCAAUAAUUACAAUCAGUUUUGCCUUAUUCUUAUCUACGGUACAAACACAAACCGCAGACUAGGGCUGUGCUUCACAGCUUUCGGAGUCUACUCUUAUGUAGGAAAACAUACAAGAAUAUUCAAGGGAACAUUUUUAAAAUGACGAUAAAAUGCCUAUGUGAUAGGAGGAAAUGGGGUGAAUGACGUAGGCACUGAGACAUGGCAUUAAGCUACUAGUGACCUUCUGACGAUACAUCAGAAGGAGAAUCAUCAGCUUCUGGACCACGGCUGACCAUGGUAACUGACACCACAGAAGCGAAACCACAGAAAGCAGACAGUGAUAAGGGGGUGCCUGCUGCACUUACGGGACAGAUUGUACUCGCACACCUGAGCUUACGGCAAGACGUGACUACGCAAGUGGCAUCGUCCAUAGAACUUAACCCCCAAAACCUAAAAAGAUGACACGUGAACACAAUUACUUUCACAUAUGUUCUCCAAAUAAUUUUUAGGGAGAAUAAUUGUAUUCUUUAAGAAAAGACUGUCAGGAGAGAGAAAUACUGACAAAGUAGGAACAUAAUAUGUUAACUCAAAGUGUUUACUCCUUAGUGAUAGGGAGAAAUGGGUUCAAACAUUUGUUGAUAAUCAUAAAAUACAAAUACAGAAUACAAAUCAUAUGAAAUACAAAAAUAAACACCACAGGAUAGAUUAAAACAGCAGUUCAAGUAUGGUGACUCAGCAAUUAUUUACUAUAAAAUAUGAAGGCUGAAUUGAAGUUUCCCAUCUUUCCCGGAGUUUCUCUAUGGAGGGUGGUUUCGUGCCCCUCACCCCAGGACAUCUGCAACCUUUUUUAUUAUCGCAACUGGAGGGAACGCAACUGGCACGGCUGGGUGGAGCCAGGGCUGCUAACUCAAAACCCCACAGUGUGCAGGGCAGCCUUCCCACGACACCGAAUCAUCCAGGGCAAAGGUCACCGGGGCCCUUGUUGAGAAACCCUGCUGCGCCAGGAUGCAACUGGGAAGUCCCAGUGUCAGUUGCACAGAUUCUUACAAUAACCUAUACCUGAUACACAUAAAACGAUACAAUUUUAAUAUCCAAGUACAGGACAGACAGAGCUCCGGAGAACAUAGAUACACCCCCCUGCUACUCACCCACAACCACUCCCCUCCUUCCUCCCCCUCUACUCCCCUCCUCCUUACUCCUCUUACACUUCUUUUAAGCCACCUUCCCAUUCCAAAACUCCCACUUCUUCUGGAAAAUAAACAGAAAUGGAAAACAUGUACUUAUUUAUGCUACUUGAGGUCUACAACUAUUCAAGAGUCAUAAUGAGUCUGAUACGUGACCCUGAAGUUUGGUAUUCUGUUUUUAUUAAAAAAUGAUGGCUAUAA